rnacentral:misc_RNA from 1 species
AAGUCGUAACAAGGUCUCCGUAGGUGAACCUGCGGAGGGAUCAUUAAAGAGUGAAGGCGAAAGCCGACCUCCAACCCUUUGAAUUCUAAACCUGUGUUGCCUCGGGGUUUUUCGAAUAAUUACCUCUCUUUAGGGAGAGUGUUCCCCCGGUGGACUCAUCAAACUCAGUUUAUUACCUAAUGUCAGAGUGAAAUUGAUUAAGAAAUCAUAACAAAACUUUCAACAACGGAUCUCUUGGUUCUG